GGGCUCUUAGCACAGUUGGUAGCGCGCACGCUUUGCAUAUCUUGGGAAUGCGUGAGGUCGUGGGUUCAAAUCCCACAGUGUCCA
rnacentral:tRNA from 1 species